CGGGGCUUAAAGUCUUGUAAUUGGAAUGAUGGGAAUUUAAACCUCUUCCAGAGUAUCAAUUGGAGGGCAAGUCUGGUGCCAGCAGCCGCGGUAAUUCCAGCUCCAAUAGCGUAUAUUAAAAUUGUUGCAGUUAAAAAGCUCGUAGUUGAAUUUCUGCUGCAUUGCUUGUGUCCCUCUGGGGUCUGUGCAUGUGGCUUUUUUCGGACGGAGUUUCUUUGUCUGACUGUUUACUUUGAGAAAAUUAGAGUGCUCAAAGCAGGCUUUCGCCUUGAAUAGUUUAGCAUGGAAUAAUAAAGUAGGACUUUGGUUCUAUUUUGUUGGUUUUAGGUACCAAAGUAAUGGUUAAUAGGAACAGUUGGGGGCAUUCGUAUUUAACUGUCAGAGGUGAAAUUCUUAGAUUUGUUAAAGACGAACUACUGCGAAAGCAUUUGCCAAGGAUGUUUUCAUUAAUCAAGAAC
rnacentral:rRNA from 1 species